rnacentral:rRNA from 1 species
CUCGAAUCAGGUAGGACUACCCGCUGAACUUAAGCAUAUCAAUAAGCGAAGGAA